AAAAAGAUAAACCCUGAGUUUUCGUGUCCAACAUUUAACUGUCCGUCUUAUAUGAAAUUUUUUUAUAAUUAGUAUUUUCAUUGUUGAUAGAUGAUAAAACAUGACUAAUACUUUAUGCGUGACUUAUCUUUUUAAUUUUUUUCAUAAUUUUUUCAAAUAAAACGGACGUUGGACACGGAAACCCAGGGUUCGUCCUUUU
rfam:Oryza barthii chromosome 6, whole genome shotgun sequence.